ensembl:lncRNA LINC00595 long intergenic non-protein coding RNA 595
AGAUGCAUCGAACUCACAGAACAUCGCUCCCCAGCUGCUGGCUCGCGGUUCUGAGAGUGCCUGAAUAGAAAACCACUCAUUUCCCUUCGCAAAAGAGGCGCCCAAAGCAGAUAUUUCAAUAUAUUCCAAUUUAGCCGAGGGAAGCCAGAACAUGGAUGUUGUUGCCAAGGAAACCACCUCCUUCCUCCUGUGUGCUGUGCAUACGUGUAUCACUUCAUCUCUCUGCUCUCCAAGCUUGAAUCUAGAUCUGACGUGGAUAUCCUGCCACAGUUCCGAAGUCUACCUAGUGCCCCAGCCGAACCUGCCCUGGCUCCUAGGUGGGGUAUGGACAUCUGUGACAUCCCUCCCCAACACCCCACCAAGCUGGGCUGCAAGACGGGUUAUGGUGGCCCCAUGACUUCCUUCCUUGGUUCCUGAAUGCCUCCGUCUCAACUUGCAUGAAAUGUCCCGUGAAAUUCCUGGAGAGGCUUCCAGGCCAUAUGCUCGCAGAUCUGGUGCUCACAUGUCAGAAAUGAUGUGGCUCAUUCUUCCCUGCCUCUGCCACCAUAUGCAUGUGCCCCUAAUCUGACCAGCAGAUCAGCAGCUUGGGGGAGGACAUGCCCACGGCUGGCAGAAAGCUGCCUGGCAAAUCUUGACACCCUGGAAGAGAGAAGAUGGCGAUGGAGAUUCACUUUCUAAGAAUGCAUUCCUUUGUUCUCAAAGAAAAUAAUGGAUUUGGUGUUUUCUUGAACUUGGGGCAUUUAAAUGCAUCUCUAAAUCAAACUGCAGCAGAGAGCUCAGGUUCAGGUGAUGGUCUGUCACUUACCUCUCCUGUCGCCGUGGACAGGCCAUCUCACCUGCCUGUCUUCCAUUUCUUUAGCUGGCCACUUGGAUACCAAUAGAGUUGUGCUUACUGUGCUUAAAUAUUGCUUUUCCAGGGGAGGUUUGAUGACUUUGUCUACUCCCAUACUCCUCAGAUGCCGGAAACGACAGGCUCUGUGUACCCCUGUGGACCAGCCAGAUUCUUGAGCAGAUUUUCCUGAUCUGUUUACCAGGAAAAUGGUAUACCCAGCAGUUUCGGCAAUUCCAGAGUCCUUGGUGGCCUGGCAGUAAUGGUGUCUCUCCAGUCACCCAGAUGUCCCUAUACAGCUCUCUACAUCAGGGUUUGGCCAUGGGCCAAAUCCAGCCACCACCUGUUUUUGUAAAUAAAAGUGUAUUGGCACA